CCUUGUACACACCGCCCGUCACACCAUGGGAGUUGGUUCUACCCGAAGACGAUGCGCCAACCGCAAGGGGGCAGUCGGCCACGGUAGGGUCAGCGACUGGGGUG
rnacentral:rRNA from 1 species